rnacentral:snRNA from 1 species
GGAUGUGAGGGCAAUCUGGCUGCGACAUCUGUCACCCCAUAGUCAUCAGGGUUGACUCUGUUGAUCAGGUUGGCUAGAUGGGUGUCCCCUUCCUCCCUCACUGCUCUAUGUGUGUCCCUCCAUGCCUAAGCUGAGCACUCUGUCAAUCGAAGAGGACGGCCUACCCUGAAUAGAGGAGGACCGGUCUCUGGUCAAGGGUACACACGGAACUGUGCUCCCCAGCUAGAGCCUACAAAUGAGCUCUCAAGAAAUAGACAACAUCUGAGCACUGCCCUGCAGACAGACCCUUCACCUGGAUCACUCAGUCUAAGCCUGAA